AUUGAACGCUGGCGGCAGGCCUAACACAUGCAAGUCGAACGAGUGGCGGACGGGUGAGUAAUGUCUGGGAAACUGCCUGAUGGAGGGGGAUAACUACUGGAAACGGUAGCUAAUACCGCAUACCAUCGGAUGUGCCCAGAUGGGAUUAGCUAGUAGGUGGGGUAAAGGCUCACAUAGGCGACGAUCCCUAGCUGGUUUGAGAGGAUGACCAGCAGCACUGGAAGUGAGAAACGGGGCAGAAUCCUACGUGAGGCAGGAGUGGGGAAUAUUGGGCAAUGGGCGCAAGCCUGAUGCAGCCAUGACGCGUGUAUGAAGAAGGCCUUCGGGAUGGAAAGGACUUUCAGCGGGGAGGGGUUACACGCAGAAGAAGAACCGGCUAACUCCGUGCCAGCAACCGCGGUAAUUC
rnacentral:rRNA from 1 species